GGAGGAUCCAAGCGUUAUCCGGAAUCAUUGGGUUUAAAGGGUCCGUAGGCGGUCAGAUAAGUCAGUGGUGAAAGCCCAUCGCUCAACGGUGGAACGGCCAUUGAUACUGUCUGACUUGAAUUAUUAGGAAGUAACUAGAAUAUGUAGUGUAGCGGUGAAAUGCUUAGAGAUUACAUGGAAUACCAAUUGCGAAGGCAGGUUACUACUAAUGGAUUGACGCUGAUGGACGAAAGCGUGGGUAGCGAACAGGAUUAGAUACCCUGGUAGUCCACGCCGUAAACGAUGGAUACUAGCUGUUGGGAGCAAUCUCAGUGGCUAAGCGAAAGUGAUAAGUAUCCCACCUGGGGAGUACGUUC
rnacentral:rRNA from 1 species